rnacentral:rRNA from 2 species
GGACUACCAGGGUUUCUAAUCCUGUUUGCUCCCCUAGCUUUCGUGCCUCAGUGUCAGGUGUUGUCCAGGGACUCGCCUUCGCCACUGGUGUUCCACUUGAUAUCUACGCAUUUCACUGCUACACCAAGUAUUCCAGUCCCCCUUCCAACCCUCGAGCGAGGUAGUUUCCAAUGCCAUUUCGGAGUUGAGCUCCGAGAUUUCACAUCCGACUUUCCUCACCACCUACGCACCCUUUACGCCCAGUGAAUCCGAACAACGCUCGGGACCUCUGUAUUACCGCGGCGGCUGGCAC